GCAAGUCGAACGCGAAAGGGGCUUCGGCCCUGAGUAGAGUGGCGUACGGGUGAGUAACACGUGGGUAAUCUACCUUUGGGUGGGGAAUAACUCAGGGAAACUUUAGCUAAUACCGCAUAAUGCAGCGGCUCGACAUCGAGACAGUUGUUAAAGUAGCAAUACGCCUGAAGAGGAGCCUGCGCGUGAUUAGCUAGUGGGUGGGGUAAUGGCGAACCAAGGCUACGAUCAGUAGCUGGUCUGAGAGGACGGCC
rnacentral:rRNA from 1 species